UACGAAGGGUGCAAGCGUUAAUCGGAAUUACUGGGCGUAAAGGGUGCGUAGGCGGUUGUUUAAGUCUGUCGUGAGAUCCCCGGGCUCAACCUGGGAAUGGCGAUGGAUACUGGGCAGCUAGAGUGUGUCAGAGGAUGGUGGAAUUCCCGGUGUAGCGGUGAAAUGCGUAGAUAUCUGGAGGAACACCGGUGGCGAAGGCGGCGUUCUGGACUGCAACUGACACUGAGGAACGAAAGCCAGGGAGCAAACGGG
rnacentral:rRNA from 1 species